rnacentral:rRNA from 1 species
AGCAGCAGCCGCGGUAAUACAUAGGGUGCGAGCGUUAAUCGGAUUUACUGGGCGUAAAGCGUGCGUAGGCGGCUUUUUAAGUCGGAUGUGAAAUCCCUGAGCUUAACUUAGGAAUUGCAUUCGAUACUGGGAAGCUAGAGUAUGGGAGAGGAUGGUAGAAUUCCAGGUGUAGCGGUGAAAUGCGUAGAGAUCUGGAGGAAUACCGAUGGCGAAGGCAGCCAUCUGGCCUAAUACUGACGCUGAGGUACGAAAGCAUGGGGAGCAAACAGGAUUAGAUACCCCAGUAGUCCCUGUCUCUUAUAC